AUUGAACGCUGGCGGCAUGCCUUACACAUGCAAGUCGAACGGCAGCACGGGUGCUUGCACCUGGUGGCGAGUGGCGAACGGGUGAGGAAUACAGCGGAACGUACCUUAUCGUGGGGGAUAACGCAGCGAAAGCUGUGCUAAUACCGCAUACGCCCUGAGGGGGAAAGCGGGGGAGAGAACGACCUCGCGCGAUUAGAGCGGCCGAUGACUGAUUAGCUUGUUGGUGGGGUAAAAGCCCACCAAGGCGACGGUCAGUAGCUGGUCUGAGAGGACGAUCAGCCACACUGGGACUGAGACACGGCCCAGACUCCUACGGGAGGCAGUAGUGGGGAAUUUUGGACAAUGGGGGCAACCCUGAUCCAGCAAUGCCGCGUGAGUGAAGAAGGCCUUCGGGUUGUAAAGCUCUUUUGUCAGGGAAGAAACACCGGCUCUAACACAGUCCGGGAAUGACGGUACCUGAAGAAUAAGCACCGGCUAACUACGUGCCAGCCGCCGCAGUAA
rnacentral:rRNA from 1 species